GAGUUUGAUCGUGGCUCGGGAUGAACGCUGGCGGCGUGCCUAAUACAUGCAAGUCGAGCGAACGGACGAGAAGCUUGCUUCUCUGAUGUUAGCGGCGGACGGGUGAGUAACACGUGGAUAACCUACCUAUAAGACUGGGAUAACUUCGGGAAACCGGAGCUAAUACCGGAUGAUAUUUUGAACCGCAUGGUUCAAAAGUGAAAGACGGUCUUGCUGUCACUUAUAGAUGGAUCCGCGCUGCAUUAGCUAGUUGGUAAGGUAACGGCUUACCAAGGCAACGAUGCAUAGCCGACCUGAGAGGGUGAUCGGCCACACUGGAACUGAGACACGGUCCAGACUCCUACGGGAGGCAGCAGUAGGGAAUCUUCCGCAAUGGGCGAAAGCCUGACGGAGCAACGCCGCGUGAGUGAUGAAGGUCUUCGGAUCGUAAAACUCUGUUAUUAGGGAAGAACAUAUGUGUAAGU
rnacentral:rRNA from 1 species